UUCCUAGGGUGAGAGAGGGAGCAGAAGUAAAUAGAAAUAGACAGACAAGCUUUAUCAGAUAAGCAAAAAUAAGCCUGGGAUCUCUCCCAGACUGUGACAAAUUUUGAAGAAUUUCAAGCCACUACUUCUAACAUUUACUAUGGGCAGGUCCAGGAGGAGCCCACUAAGGGACAUGAACAUGAAGCAGUCAAAAGAGUGUGGGCAUCAGGAAGAAGCAUCCUGGAUGUGGGAGCCCACAAAGAUUCCAACUUGUGGUUUGUUUCUAUUUUGACUAAAGAAUUCACAAGAACUCAAUGAGAUGAAUGGAGAUGAGGAUGAAGAAACGUGGAAGAAAUAAGUGAGAGGACAUAACAUCACAAAGUCAAGACUUCUUAAGAGGAAAGUGCAAACCCAAGCAUCGCUCACAACACUGAAUGAACAAAAUGAGAUGCUGAUGUGCUAUGAUGAGAACAGACUAAGAGCAAAGAUGCAUUCUGAAGCAUGGGCUCUGUCUGUGUUGAGACAGCAAAAUGUCUUUGAAAAGCAAACAUGUUGCUUUCCUCAAUUCUUUAUUUCCUAAAAUGUGAACAAAAAGACAAAGAGAAGGGUUCUAUUUGGGGGGUUAGAUGGGAGUUGGCUUUAUUUAGAAAAUUUGAGUAUAUUAAUUUUCUGUGUUCACAGAAGGCAUUUGGAAGAAAAUAAAGAAAACUACUGAGUAAA